AGGAGAAGCUUGCUUCUCUGUCGGCGAGUGGCGAACGGGUGAGUAUAGCAUCGGAACGUGCCAAGUAGUGGGGGAUAACCAAACGAAAGUUUGGCUAAUACCGCGUAAGCUCUAAGGAGGAAAGUAGGGGACCUAAAUAAGGCCUUACGCUAUUUGAUCGGCCGAUGUCGGAUUAGCUAGUUGGUGGGGUAAUGGCUCACCAAGGCAAUGAUCCGUAGCGGGUCUGAGAGGACGAUCCGCCACACUGGGACUGAGACACGGCCCAGACUCCUACGGGAGGCAGCAGUGGGGAAUUUUGGACAAUGGGGGAAACCCUGAUCCAGCCAUGCCGCGUGUAUGAAGAAGGCCUUAGGGUUGUAAAGUACUUUUGUUAGGGAAGAAAAGCUAGUUUUUAAUAAAAAUUAGUGAUGACGGUACCUAAAGAAUAAGCACCGGCUAACUACGUGCCAGCGGCCGUGGUAAUACGUAGGGUGCAAGCGUUAAUCGGAAUUAUUGGGCGUAAAGCGAGUGCAGACGGUUACUUAAGCCAGAUGUGAAAUCCCCAAGCUUAACUUGGGACGUGCAUUUGGAACUGGGUGACUAGAGUGUGUCAGAGGGAGGUAGAAUUCCACAUGUAGCGGUGGAAUGCGUAGAGAUGUGGAGGAAUACCGAUGGCGAAGGCAGCCUCCUGGGAUAACACUGACGUUGAGGCUCGAAAGCGUGGGGAGCAAA
rnacentral:rRNA from 1 species